rnacentral:rRNA from 1 species
AACGAACGCUGGCGGCGCGCUUAACACAUGCAAGUCGAGCGGCAGGGGCAACUCUGCAGCGGCGAACGGGUGCGUAACACGUGGGUAAUCUGCCUCGAAGUUUGGGAUAACUCGCCGAAAGGCGAGCUAAUACCGGAUGAGCCCACGGGACCUACGGGUCCAGGGGAAAAGGCGAAAGCCGCUUCGAGAUGAGCCCGCGGCCCAUCAGCUAGUUGGCGGGGUAAAAGCCCACCAAGGCAAUGACGGGUAUCUGGUCUGAGAGGACGGCCAGACACACUGGAACUGAGACACGGUCCAGACUCCUACGGGAGGCAGCAGUGGGGAAUCUUGCGCAAUGGGCGAAAGCCUGACGCAGCGACGCCGCGUGUGCGAUGAAGGUCUUCGGAUCGUAAAGCACUGUCGCGAGGGAAGAAAACCCGCAAGGGUCUGACGGUACCUCGAGAGGAGCACCGGCUAACUCUGUGCCAG